rnacentral:rRNA from 1 species
UACGUAGGGUGCGAGCGUUAAUCGGAAUUACUGGGCGUAAAGCGUGCGCAGGCGGUUUUGUAAGACAGGCGUGAAAUCCCCGGGCUCAACCUGGGAAUGGCGCUUGUGACUGCAAGGCUGGAGUGCGGCAGAGGGGGAUGGAAUUCCGCGUGUAGCAGUGAAAUGCGUAGAUAUGCGGAGGAACACCGAUGGCGAAGGCAAUCCCCUGGGCCUGCACUGACGCUCAUGGACGAAAGCGUGGGGAGCAAAC